GCCGGGUGUGGUGGUGCACGCCUGUAAUCUCAGCACUCUGGGAGGCUGAGGCUGGGGGAUCACCUGAGGUCAGGAGUUUGAGAACAGCCUGACCAACAUGGUAAAACCCCGUCUCUA
rnacentral:sRNA from 1 species